AUGAUUCAGCAAAAUGAUUCAACGAACGAUGACAUGGAAUUGAUGAACAGGUGGUUUUCAGAAGAUCACUCAGUAUAUUUAGCUUCUGAAAUUCGAGCGACUCGGGAUCUGAUUGGCUGCUGGUACCACGUGAUAAUUCGGAGCCCAGGCACCACUCUGGCUCUUGCCUGGGGUUCUCAGGAGGGAAGAGUUGGGAGAGGCUUUGCUGCUGAGGAAAUUGAUCUGAUAGAUUAAAGGUAAGGCCGGUUUAUGGCUUUUUCUGUAAUGGUCUUGCUGGAGAUGUUCUGCAGCUUCCCUUGAAGUAUUUCCCAAAGUUUGGGGUCAUAACUGGGGAAAUUAGGGGUGGAAAUGUAACUAGGAAAGUUUGUGACCCUGUUGCCCUACUCAGGCCCUACUUAUACCUGCCAUGUGUUGUGUGAUCAAAGUCCUAUACUGACCAGCUUACUGCUCGACUGAGUUGGCUCUCUCGUCUAACAGACAACAUUUUAAAAAGUUUUGCCUUUGAUUUUUUUCCCUAAAUAUAUUGGUACGUAAAAGGAUCUAUGUUCUGCAUUCCUAUAUUUAUCCUGUUCUACUGGGCUUCCUUUGCCUCCGAAGGAGCGGCAGUUUCGCUGGCUUAACAAAACCAGCCAUGGCGGGGUAUUGGUUUACAUGGCAAAUAUCUUUGGGCAAAGGGACAGCUGCUCCAAGUCCUCAUCCCCUUUUAUCAAGAGAGUCCCAUUCUCUGGCGUCAAACUAAGGAGGCCUUGGGAGAUCCUCUCGUUAGUUCCUGAAUUAGAAGCUUAGACCAGAGACCCACAGUCUUCUAUGUACUUCAGUCAAUGCUUGAAAUGUUUCUUAUUUUUCAGGUUUGAGGAAGAGCUACAGAAGCAGAACAGAAAAAUCCAUACAAGCCAAUGGUGUUCGGGAAAAAAUAACCCCAUUGCCUUGAGGUUUCUAUUUUUUCUUUUAAAGCUAUUGACAGAUUUGUUUUUAUGUGUCCUCAUUUCAAGCCUAGCACAGACUGCUAUGGUGUUUUAGAGGAGUAGAGCGACCCAAAGCAUCCCUCUUAGAAAUUUGGUGCUGGCGAAAAAUUCUGACUUCUGGAAGCCGAGCUGACCUCCCUUUCACUAAGACGUUUGCUUGAAAAUGUUUUUCCGCAAGUAUUUAGAAACUUGAAUACCCUGUUUCUUUGAAUCCAAAUCCUCUCGCUUUCUUACCUCCGCUUCCUUUUACAACUUGAACUAAAUUGGUGGUGUAGCUAGAAGCAGCGACACCUGACAUGUUGCUGAGGGCAUCAAGAGACGCUGAUUGAAGUCUGAGGUUUUGAGAGCCAUAUUUAAAUAUCUCCUCUCACGUAGCCUGCAACAAUCUAUGGCUGUGUAGGAUGGAUAAUCUUACAUUCUGUUUUUAUAAUGUUAUGAUUUCAGUCCUAGGGGUAGAUGCUAAUGCGUUUCCAUUUGUCUGGAAUAUGAAAAGUUUGUAGGUGCCACUACGACUCUGGGAAAAUGGCAGACGACGAAGAAUAUGAGGAGGUGGUGGAGGUAAGAUGAAAAGGCUGACUCUGACAGCGGGUAUUUUCUGUGGCGACAGCCAAAGCCGUGUAGGUGAAUUAAUCAUUUGACAAAUACCUCAUCUAUUAUAACUUCACAAAGAGUCAUUAUUAAAGCAUGAGAAAGGAAUAUUUUAUGUUCAGUUUCACUAUAAUUAUGUGGGAUUUAGAAUUGAAAAGAAAUCUCACUGUUUCCCACUUUUGCUUUUCUUUAAACUCUCAGAAAAACAUGGUGUGGGGUAAAGGUGGUGUUAAUUUGUCUUCUGAAACUACCUUCUUCCCCACCUGACAACCCUCCUGAUCAGAAGGAUGGAGGAGAUGAAGGGACAGUUCCAAAAACUGAACUCUGUCUUUUAGCUUCCACAUAGCAAUAGGAGGAAAAGGGGCUACUUUAAAUCUUUGCUUCAACCAGCUGAUUACCUAGAGGGUAAUAUGGGUUAAAUGUUCAGAAUAAUACACUAAUGAGAUUUUAUGCAUAUGUGAGAUUUUGUAUGUAUGUAAAUGUGCACAUGUGCCCAUAAAUAUAAACUCAUCACACUCACAAGUGACAUUUGGAGCCACACUUUCUGACCAACUCCCAUUCUAUUUACCUAAGGGAACAAGACUAGCUUUUGCUUUUAAAUUUUGAAAAAAAAAAAAAACCAAACAAACAAAAAACAAAACCCAAAGUGGACAUCUUGGAAAAAUUUCCUCUGGGUUAUUUGUGGACAUCUGACACAUUCUACAAAGCUGUUAAUUAUUUAUUUUAUAAAAUUUUGUUUAUAUGUUACGGUUUUUCUUCCUCAGCUCUUGGCUUCAGCUUCACAUUCUAGAAUCUCAAGGCUUGGGGACUAUAAUCCAUAUAAAUACAUUGCCAUUGAAUCUGAAAGUGCUUAAUAAUUUAUAAUUAAUGAUGAUCUAAACAUAUAAAAAUC
ensembl:lncRNA